ensembl:processed_transcript 2210408F21Rik RIKEN cDNA 2210408F21 gene
CGAGCUCCCCCUGAGCCGCCUGGGAGCAGGGAGGGUUCUGCUACCCUGAGGGGCCCUCCCCGCGGGGCAGAGGGGUUUCCUCAGCAGUGCCCCGGAGCAGGGACCGCGCCAGCCAGCAGAAACAGCUAGUUGUUGUCUGCAGUGAAGAAUAAUUGGAAGCAUGGUGCCUGUUUCUUUUCCUCUCAUCCUCGUCUACGGCCAAAUGUUGGUUUCUCAUUUCUAGAAGAUGAAAGAUGUGAUGACUCAGGAAAAACUGGAAUCUUAGUAACUGUGGUGGGCACUGAGCCUUGCUGUCCACAAGAGAAAGCUUGCUGCUCGAGAUGUGAGUCUUCAGAUGUUCCUGCCGCCAUAUCUGACAGCUGCUGCCAAGAUUCCCUGGUGGGAUGGACUCUUAUACCUCGACAACCAGAAGCCCAAGUAAACUCUUCUAUAAAUUGAAUGACUCAUGCUUAAAAAAAAAACAAAAAACUAUC